rnacentral:rRNA from 1 species
CACUGCCGAGAAAAGCCUCUAGAUAGAAAAUAGGUGCCCGUACCGCAAACCGACACAGGUAGUCAAGAUGAGAAUUCUAAGGUGAGCGAGCGAACUCUCGUUAAGGAACUCGGCAAAAUGACCCCGUAACUUCGGGAGAAGGGGUGCUCUUUAGGGUUAACGCCCAGAAGAGCCGCAGUGAAUAGGCCCAAGCGACUGUUUAUCAAAAACACAGGUCUCUGCUAAACCGUAAGGUGAUGUAUAGGGGCUGACGCCUGCCCGGUGCUGGAAGGUUAAGAGGAGUGGUUAGCUUCUGCGAAGCUACGAAUCGAAGCCCCAGUAAACGGCGGCCGUAACUAUAACGGUCCUAAGGUAGCGAAAUUCCUUGUCGGGUAAGUUCCGACCCGCACGAAAGGCGUAACGAUUUGGGCACUGUCUCAACGAGAGACUCGGUGAAAUCAUAGUACCUGUGAAGAUGCAGGUUACCCGCGACAGGACGGAAAGACCCCGUGGAGCUUUACUGUAGCCUGAUAUUGAAAUUCGGCACAGCUUGUACAGGAUAGGUAGGAGCCUUUGAAACGUGAGCGCUAGCUUACGUGGAGGCGCUGGUGGGAUACUACCCUAGCUGUGUUGGCUUUCUAACCCGCACCACUUAUCGUGGUGGGAGACAGUGUCAGGCGGGCAGUUUGACUGGGGCGGUCGCCUCCUAAAAGGUAACGGAGGCGCUCAAAGGUUCCCUCAGAAUGGUUGGAAAUCAUUCAUAGAGUGUAAAGGCAUAAGGGAGCUUGACUGCGAGACCUACAAGUCGAGCAGGGUCGAAAGACGGACUUAGUGAUCCGGUGGUUCCGCAUGGAAGGGCCAUCGCUCAACGGAUAAAAGCUACCCCGGGGAUAACAGGCUUAUCUCCCCCAAGAGUUCACAUCGACGGGGAGGUUUGGCACCUCGAUGUCGGCUCAUCGCAUCCUGGGGCUGUAGUCGGUCCCAAGGGUUGGGCUGUUCGCCCAUUAAAGCGGUACGCGAGCUGGGUUCAGAACGUCGUGAGACAGUUCGGUCCCUAUCCGUCGUGGGCGUAGGAAAUUUGAGAGGAGCUGUCCUUAGUACGAGAGGACCGGGAUGGACAUACCUCUGGUGUACCAGUUGUCGUGCCAACGGCAUAGCUGGGUAGCUAUGUGUGGACGGGAUAAGUGCUGAAAGCAUCUAAGCAUGAAGCCCCCCUCAAGAUGAGAUUUCCCAACUUCGGUUAUAAGAUCCCUCAA